GCCAUGUUUCCAGUCUCUGUCUUGUACAGGAACAUACAGGAAACAGGGACUUGAGCAAAUGCUUAAGGCGAUCUUAAAUAUAAGUAACGACUCUGAAUCUGAACUCCGGCCAUAGUGACCUUCCAGGGUCAUUAUAAUUACAGCAACUACUUACCAACCCGUCCUCGGUGCGUAUGUCGAUGUUCGUCUUUGAAGCGUUCAGGACCACCAUCAGCCUCUUCACUCGCCUAAAAUCGUCGUUCAUGACUGCUCUGUGAAUAUUAAAAAAUCCGUCAUCGUCCCA